rnacentral:rRNA from 1 species
CGUACACUCCUGCGGGAGGCAGCAGUGGGGAAUAUUAGACAAUGGGCGCAAGCCUGAUCCAGCCAUGCCGCGUGAGUGAUGAAGGCCCUAGGGUUGUAAAGCUCUUUCACCGGUGAAGAUAAUGACGGUAACCGGAGAAGAAGCCCCGGCUAACUUCGUGCCAGCAGCCGCGGUAAUACGAAGGGGGCUAGCGUUGUUCGGAUUUACUGGGCGUAAAGCGCACGUAGGCGGACUAUUAAGUCAGGGGUGAAAUCCCGGGGCUCAACCCCGGAACUGCCUUUGAUACUGGUAGUCUUGAGUUCGAGAGAGGUGAGUGGAAUUCCGAGUGUAGAGGUGAAAUUCGUAGAUAUUCGGAGGAACACCAGUGGCGAAGGCGGCUCACUGGCUCGAUACUGACGCUGAGGUGCGAAAGCGUGGGGAGCAAACAGGAUUAGAAACCCGGGUAGUCCCAUGA